UCACAUGCCUCCACAUCUUUCGCCUUUCUUCUUCCUCCACCGUUUUUCAGCCACACAGCCCACACUCCAGAAUCGGUUAACACUAAAAAUAUAGCAUUCACAUCUCGGACUUCAUCCGUUCACGUCUGCACUCUAGCGAAUUUUAAGCCCUUCACCUGCAAAAUUUCAGAGUCGGUUACCACUUUAUACGAUCUCACCAGUAACAUUUCAAUAUCUCCAUGGUUUAAACUCAGAAUGUAGAUCUGGAAUGCUAGAUUUGCUGAUUAGCUUUGUAUCUUAUGGAUCCGUAUUGCAUGGUUCGGAAUCUUCGAUUCAUGGCUAGCUCACUGGUCUUGUACACAGCAAAACAAUCUCUUCGGCGUGGCUCUAAAACUAAUCAACAAGGUGGAUAAGGUGGAGGUGCUUGAAGUAUCGACUCCCACAAGCAGUUGGGAGAAGAAUUUUUCUUUGUCAUCUGUGGUUUGGAAGUUGGCAAUAAUUCCCUUUCCACAAAGCAAUUUUGCAUCUUCUGGUGUGUGAAUGAGGUGGCUCAUGAACAACACAAAAUCUGUGAAAUACUUGAAUGCAAGAUCAGAGUGUUGCUCAUAGGCUAUCAUGUUUCUCAAGAAUGUCUCUGUGAAGUCAUCAAUCCUGAAGCACCGAAUUUUCAUUGUACCCCAGUUGAAAUCUAUGUCAAAUAAACUUCUGUGGACCUCCUCAAUUUUCUGGAAGCUAACUCCAUCUUUUUCAAGCUCUGUGGCUGUAUUGAUUUGUUGUAAAACUAAGCCACACUCUUCAUCAUAUUCAUCGCUUCUGGUAGUAUUAGUAGGUAUGCAAAGACUAUGUACCACUUCAAGUAAAUGUUUAGGCAAACUUUGAGGUUUAUAUUUGUUGGGAAGUAGAGGCUGUGUUAACUUGCGCACUUGACUCUCAUAGCAGUUCUUCACCAACUCAAUAAGCUCCUUUAGAAAUGCAACAUCAUCACCUUUAUCCUGCUUCAAUUUGUGCAGUUCAAACAGGACAAAAAAGGGGAUUUGGUUCUCUAACAAUAGCAUGUCCUUCAAGGUUUGAGCUACCUUCCUUUCAUUUUCCAUGAAGGUUUGAGCUACCCUCCCAUUAUCGCUGGAUUUCUUAUCUGACACCAGAGUAUAAAAUAUAAUAGUUAACAAUGGAACCAUCAUAUGAUUAACAUUGAAUGGUGGUAAUUUAGAUUGAUACCUUUCACUGACUUCAAAAACUGAAGUAUGAAGCAACCAUCUCUCAUAAGCGUCUCCACAAGUCUUGCAUUAGUUAUGUUCUUGGUGCUACCAGCAUAGCAAGAGCGUGCCUUGUCCACAAAGCUUGUCAAUAACACCCUACACCGCUCCUCAAGCCCAUCUGUAUUUCCAAAAAAGCCUUCUUGAAAAUAUCUUUUGAUACUGUUUUCUGAGCCAGGCUCUUGUAUACGGUAAUAAGGCCCUAUGGAUAUCAGCUUUGGUUUGUAAGCACUGGGGUUGGUUUUAGACAGUGCUUCAGAAAAGGUUGAUCCCCCAAGCAGUUCAGAGAACAACUGUUCCCUGUUUGUGCCAUGGAAGUUGCCAAUAAUUUCACAAAGCAAUUCCGCAUCUUUUGGUGUGUUAAUGAGUUUGGUCAUAAACAACACAAAAUCUGUGAAAGGCUUGGAUGCAACAUCAGGGUGUUUCUCAUAGGCUAUCAUGCUUUUCAAGAAUGUCUCUGUGAACUCAUCAAUCCUGAAGCCCCGAAUUUUCAUCAUACACUCUUUGAAAUGUAUGUCAAAUAAAGUGUGCUCCCCAUUAUUUUUCUUGAAGCUAACUCCAUCUUUUUCAAGCUCUGUGGCUGUUUUGAUUUGUUUCAAAACUAAGCCACAAUAUUCAUCACUUCUGGGAUCUGCAUUUAGAGGUGUUAACUUGCCCACUUGAAUCUCAAAGCAGUUCUUCACCAACUGAAUAAGCGCCUCUAGCAAGGAAACAUCAUCACCAUUACCCUGCUUCAACUUGUGGAGUUCGAACAGGACAGGGAACGGGAUUUGCUUCUCUAAUAGUAAUAUGUCGAUCAAGGUUUGAGCUACCCUCCCAUUGCUUGUAUUAGCUAUCACCAGAGUAUAAAAUAUAAUAGUUAACAAUGAAACUAUCAUGAUUAACAUUGGCCAAGCACCUUGUGCUCAGAUUGCAUGUAGUGACUCUCCCAUAUGGGAGGUCAUGAGAUCGAGCCUCAGUGGAGGCGUUGUUGACUCUUUGUGCUUCAUUAGGUUGAGAAAGUAUAGAUGAACAUAUACUACAAUGUAAUAGAGUCAGUAGCACUAAAAAAAAAAAAUCAUGAUACCUUUGCUUGACCCGUAUUUGUACAAAACCCCAAGUAUGUAGCUACCAUAGUACAGAAACUUCUCCACAACUUCGCCAUUACUGGUGUUGUUGGUGUUAUCAGCAUUGCAA